AUUGAACGCUGGCGGCAGGCCUAACACAUGCAAGUCGAGCGGGGUUUUCGGACCUAGCGGCGGACGGGUGAGAAAUGCGUAGGAAGCUACCCGAUAGAGGGGGAUACCAGUUGGAAACGACUGUUAAUACCGCAUAAUGUCUACGGACCAAAGUGUGGGACCUUCGGGCCACAUGCUAUCGGAUGCGCCUACGUGGGAUUAGCUAGUUGGUGAGGUAAUGGCACACCAAGGCGACGAUCCCUAGCUGGUUUGAGAGGAUGAUCAGCCACACUGGAACUGAGACACGGUCCAGACUCCUACGGGAGGCAGCAGUGGGGAAUAUUGGACAAUGGGCGCAAGCCUGAUCCAGCCAUGCCGCGUGUGUGAAGAAGGCCUUCGGGUUGUAAAGCACUUUCAGUAGGGAGGAAGCGUUGUGUGUUAAUAGUACACAGCGUUGACGUUACCUACAGAAGAAGCACCGGCUAACUCUGUGCCAGCCGCCGCCGUAAAAC
rnacentral:rRNA from 1 species